rnacentral:rRNA from 1 species
ACGCUCGACACCUACGGUAGGCAGCAGUAGGGAAUCUUCCACAAUGGACGCAAGUCUGAUGGAGCAACGCCGCGUGAGUGAAGAAGGUCUUCGGAUCGUAAAACUCUGUUGUUAGAGAAGAACACGAGUGAGAGUAACUGUUCAUUCGAUGACGGUAUCUAACCAGCAAGUCACGGCUAACUACGUGCCAGCAGCCGCGGUAAUCUGAGCGGGCUGGCAAGGC